AUAAGGGAAUCCCGCGUUGUUCUACUCCUUCGCGCCUAGCAUUCUAGUCCCAAGAGAGGGGAUCAUGCUCGCCUCAAUUUCCCCAAGCUCUUUCUUGGCAGGGAUGGUGCUGCUACUCUUCCAUGUUCAUCACCCCCAACUCCCAUUGCAAAUCCUCACCAACCCAGCAGUAACAGUCGCCGCCUCAGCCUCAUUCGGAAGCUCAACAUGUGGAGACUGCACCCAUGCCUCACUACUAGAAAGUUAUAUAAUUAGAGGCGAUAAGUCAGAGGCGUUUGAUAAAAAUUGCCUCUGAAAAUGUUGAAUUACAACGGUUUGAAUUAAUUAUUAUUAAGGCACUUCGUCAAUGCCUCUAUUCUAGUUACCGAGAGACUGGUUAGUGUUUGGGCUCGCUGAGAGAGAGAGAGAGAAAUGAGGGUUUUGCAACUUGCAUUUGAAUUCGAACCCCUCGUUCCAUUCGAUCAGAGGAGGCAUUCUUUGAACCGAAUUCGUCAAAAAGUUAAGUAACGGUGAUAAAUCUUAUGAAACAUAGUUUGAAACUGUGACUAUCUGCGUUGAAGAUGGAGGAAGCAAAACCUCUCAUUUCGACGAAUAAUUCACAUUAUAGCGAUGACGAUGGCAUUGAAGCUCGGUUUACGAAGCUCUACAAGAGCGGACUAUCGUUUGGCGAAAGAAUAUUUUCUGAAGCUAUGUAGUUGCUCGAUCAGAGAAAUCAAGCGCCUUCUUUUGGCAAAUACGGCUUAAGGAUUUUGUUUCUAGUUUCACCUUCAGCAUUGAUCGGCAGUUACUUGCUUCAGGAAGCUUUGAUGGGCUUAUCCAAUAAGUAUGAGGCAUAUCUUCAGCUUGGAUUAUAAAUCUUCAGUGGUCCGGAUCAUAUUGCAGGCAGAGCAAAGCAGGAUGCUGCCUUCCAAAGACUGGGGAGCCAGACCGAGACUUCUUUAUUAGGAGCUUGAUUCCCUUCUCCCAGAAUGGAAAACAACUCAAGAAAUGCAGCAGAAGUCCUUUUGACAAAAAUGAGGUAGUACAAUAUUCAUUUUAUCUAACAACAAAUUCCUCUUUGCUCUCUUUGAAUUUUGUCACACCAGAACUAGCUCAAGCUAUGGACAUCAAAAUCCAUACAGUUCUCUGACCUGUUGGAUCAACUUAAUUUGUACUGGUCUAACAUCAAAUGCCCAAGCAACGAUGGGAGGUUCUUGUGGAAAAGUGCAUGGAAAACAUAUGGAGUGUGCUCUGCGCUUAGUCAGCAUGAUUACUUUGAGAGGGCAUUGAAACUUAGAUCUGAUGACAAUAUGCUUAGCAUACUAGGGGAGAAUGGUGAGUUGCUCCCUCAUUUUAUCUAAGUAUUUUUGUAUUCUCCAACAUGGGCAUAUGCAGGUAUUAUUCCUACAGAUUAUGUUGACUACAGUCUGAUUGAAGUAGAGGAAGCCAUUAACAAUGAAUUUGAAGAUGCAGCUGCAAUUCGUUGUAGUGUUGAUUAUAAGAAUGGUAAAUCUCAGCUUUAUGAAAUCUAUGUCUGCGUGGACAAGUAUGCAAACAAAAUCAUCCCCUUGGUAGAGGAAGUUAAUGCACUGAAGUACCAAAUGUCAGAUGAAGCACUUCAACAGAUGCCAGACUUUCAGGGCCGGAUUGAUGUACUGAAUGAAAUUGACUGCAUAGAUGCUGAUCUUGUAGUUCAGAUCAAGAGUGUUGCAUGUGAAAUGAAUUCUGGGGAAGAGUUGACAUUGCACAGAGUGUUUGUUUGAGAACCAACUAGAUGAUCUGCCCUUGUAUUUCAACAGAAGAACCAGAAGAAGCUGAGCCUACUCUUACUUUCAAGAAUGCACUCGGUAAGAGAUUUGAAGUCCUUGUAUUUUUUAUGUCAA